rnacentral:lncRNA from 1 species
GACACUAUGAGUUUUUGGUUAUGCCUUUCAAACUUACUAAUGCACCUGCUGUUUAUUGCCGCCAAUAGCGCUUCGCUUGCAUGCAAGGCGGCAUGCCAGGUAGAGCUAUCAUUAAGGGCGAAGGAGAUGCAUUUCUGUACUGGUAGUACUGGACAAGCUCUCAGGGAAUAAUCUCUUUCUUAUUUCUGCCUUUCUUUCCCAUGACGACUAGGAACAGG